GGUGUUCAGCAGGUAGGCCACGACAGUUCUCAGAGACAUCAUCAUUAGGACCACCCUGAAAACUCUCUUGUAACCUGGUGAGUCAUAGCUUCUUCUGUGAUAUCACAACUAUUGUAGUGACAGCAACUGCCUCUCAGAUAUUCCUGCAGUACCUCUAGGGUUUACUAAUAUCCUCUAAUUCAUAGCAAAUUGGGGUGUGAUAACAAACAGAUUGAAGAGAUUAUAAAUGGGGAGAAGGAAGCUGGCUUUCUGUCUUGGUAUAAAAAAUAAUGAAGAAAUAUGUGGUCCUUUGGAAAGCUCAUUGAGUCCUUGGCAACCACUAAUGAAGCACAAAGAACUCUCUAAUUUUAGAGUGAUGUAGUAAGGAAAGGUUUCCACAGCGUUACAGGAGACUAUCCUUGAAAGAGCACCGCCAAAUCUGGUCAAUGUAAAGAUAGCUUUUUAGCAGGAGACACUCCUUGAAGGGGCACCCUCAAAUCUGGCCAUUAAAGAAAGAAGUUCAGCAGAACCAGAAUUUUACCACAGAUAUACUUUCGGAGUGCGAGCCACUGUUCAGUGCUUUCCUGCUUGGCUUGCUUCAUCCAGUGCAUGUGCUGGUACUGUGACACAAGAAGAGACUCUUGUCAUCCAUUAAAUGCUGCCUGGCAAAUCCU